rnacentral:tRNA from 1 species
AGGGGUAUAGCCAAGUGGUUAAGGCAUGGGACUUUGACUCCCAUAUUCGUGCGUUCGAUCCGCACUACCCCUGCCA